UAACAAAUAUUAAAUUCACAUUUUUUACAUUUGACUGUUUAAAAUGUAGUUAUUUGUUACAUUUGACUGUGUAAAACCUAGCAGUACUACUUAUUUCUCUGAGAGACAUUUUGCAAGAAAACAUGAUUAUUUGUCACUCUGAAAUUAAACCAAGUAAGAGAGAGAUUUUAAACAAAUAUGUCCGGGGUGGCAGCGUAGCCUAGUGGUUAGAGUGUUGAACUAGUAACUGAAAGGUUGCAAGAUCAAAUCCCCGAGCUGACAAGGUAAAAAUCUGUCGUUCUGCCCCUGAACAAGGCAGUUAACCCACUGUUCCUAGGCCAUCAUUGAAAAUAACAAUUUGUUCUUAACUGACUUGCCUAGUUAUAUAAAAAUAUAUUUUUUAAAACAAUAUGAUUAUAUAGUGAAAAAACACACUUUCUUCAAACAAUAAAAGCUCAUUUACCAACAUUUCUGAAAAUGGAUAUAGUGUUUUGGAAUAUAUGUAAUAGUAAUUUAGUGAUUGUGUUUUAUAGCAUAGUCAUGGAGUUCAGCAGUUUUGAUAUAUGAAUGAAAUAAGAUAUUAAGUUGAUAGGUCUAUUUCUAUGAAGGUCAACUUACAAACUCUGUAUAUUUACAGGCUCUGUGACCUGACAAUGCAGCUGGUCAUUCAGUAGCAGCCUUCAAUCUCCAUGCCAGACAAGAUUACUGUCUGCAACAUAUUGGCAGGAGAGAGCAGGAGUUUACUCUGGGGCAACCAGCAGAGACAAAACAAAUCUGCUCUGAGGAAGAUUCUGCCCUCUAUGAUAUGAGACCCCCUUUAGUUUUAUGGAUGAUGCACAGUGACCAGCAGAUACAGUUCAAACUGACUGGUACGUCAGAGUGGAAUUGUGACUGGCAGAGCUCUUACGCAUGAGUCACAGAAUGCAAGCCUUGUCCCUCAUCAUUGACUCUCUUCUAUCAACACAGUGUAGGUGUUGUUUUCCGGAUCCUGACAGUACCACAGAAAUAUUGUGUAAUGAAUUUCUUCAGCUUACCCUUUGUCACAUUGAUUUAUUUGACACUCAUUCAAUAAAGCAUACAUUACUUAUGCACCCUUUAGCUACUGCACUAUAAUGGAAGGGAUUGCAAGAUCUAAGUUGAAAGAUAUUCACUGUAAAGUAACCAGGUCCAAUAAUCGAACACGUUCAUCAAAGUAUAUCCAGCCCACAUUGUAAUAUGAGUACCCUACAU
rnacentral:lncRNA from 8 species